GAUUUGACCGACCAAUCAAUGAGAGAAAACUUUCUGGAAAAGUUGGCAUCUGCCCUGGCUGACAGAGGAUUCACAAACGUGACACUGAGUUGGUUUCAAACCCCUGUACGGGUGAUUCAGAAGGAGAACGCUCCUAAAAGUUGUGUUAAAGUACCGUGAUAUCCUGGAAAGUUACAUUGGAAACAAUGUAAAGCCUCUUCAAGCAAUUCUGCUGCCUUGUUUAAGCUUACAUAAAAUAAUAGAUAAUAAAACAAAGCUAACUGAACAACAUAAUGAAGUGAAUGCUUAUUACCAAUCACAAAAAUAUUUACUGUGCUGCCUGUUAAAGAUAUUUUAUUUUUAAGAUGUUUUAAAUUGUUUAAAUGUGAGAAUAUCAUUAAGGACUUUUAUCUUAAACCCUGGCCAGGACGGGUCUGGGGAAAAAGGGCCCAUAUGGUCACCUUAAUUUUAAAGAUGGUUUAAAUUGUUUAAAUAAGAAAUAGUCAUUAAGGAUUUUAACCCGAAAGCUUGUCACUGAUUCUUUUCUGUGAUGUACAGUAAGUUGUCAUGAGUUGGCUGCUAAAUAAAUCCUGAAAAGUUUGGAACACUGCCAUUAUGGGUGUGUGUUUAUUUACUUUUUAAAUUCUCAAACACUGAUUUACAGCAAGCCACUCCCAGAUCAC